AAUAAGCAGCUGUUUCUACGCAGUCAGGACUGGCAUGGCUGGAAGCUUUCUGUUGCUAUGAUGCUAAUUUCCUUAUUUCUCAUUAUUUCUUUCAGUGAGAGGUUCCUAUCUUUUUUGCCAGCAAGCAUACAGACUGCACUAAAGGCUUACUGACUCAGAGAUGGACAAUGGGGUGGAAAUGAGAAUAGUAGCAGGAUUAUCCUUAUCUUACCUCCAACACCUCGACUCUGCUCGAAAACCACUUACAUUGUUGUCUCCGCCAAUUAAAUAUACAAAAUUAUUGAGAACAGCAAUCCCCUGGUUGGACAUUCUGGGGGCUAGUGCAGCUGUAAAGUGCCUCCACUCUCCCAACAGGGGGUUCAGAUACUUGGCUUGAUCACUGAGAACAAUGGAUGGAGUAGAAUGCAUCCCUCCAAAUCCCACUACACACUGGAACUCUGAUCUCAGCUGUGUCUGGGAGCUCUGGAGCAUUGGCUGAAGACAUUCAUUCUUGUGGUACAUUAAUGCAUCUGCGACUGUAUCUUUUAAAGGACAUGGACUUAAUUUGUCAUGAAGCCUUUGCAGGAUCUGGGGUUCCAUCAGAGGAAAUCGAACUGUCUCAAGUAGCUUAAGGGGCUCCAUCAGGGAGACCUGAUCUGUCUCCAGUUGCUCUGGAGAAUAAUGAUAAAAAAGUGCACCAUCAUAAACUUCAAAUUCAUAGUUAACCUCCAAACGGUUGCUACUGAGCAGGGAGUAGACCUUCUGCAGGGGUAGCUGGCGGUAUGCUUGUGUCCUUGAGAAAGCUGCAAAGUUCUUCAAAAUGUAGGAGUCCAGCUGAUCGCUCAAAUGUCUCAAGUCAUAAUGGUCAGCUAGUUUGUAUACAUCCAGGAUGUUCUCUUCAUCUACCCAGGACAUUAGAAAAUCACAACAGAACUUAAUGACUUCUGGAAUCUGCAAGAGAGAGAAAUCUUUUAUUUCAUACAGCAUUUGCCUUACGUUCCAAGAUACAGAUGACAGAAGCAUAGAACUUCCAAGCUUUGGAAGCUUCCAAAAACUGUAAAAAAGUUGUUGACAAGAAAAUUGUUCUUCUCACAAUCUGACUGCCAUGUUCACCUUUUUCCAGAGAAAAAUCACAACUCAACUUGGGUACGCAGAUGAAUGUAACCCAGAUCUUCUAGCCACACUAUACUGCAAGCCUUUGAGUUUUGCUUCUCGUGUAGCAGCAAUGCAUCUUCUGGGGCACAUGGGAUACUGAACAGCCAGGCUGCCUCAUUUGUUAACAUGAGAGAUGAAGGCUGCCUGGGAGGCAGUCAUGGAAACAAAAGGCAUGAAGGACAUGGCAACAGAUGCUCCCUCAGUUGCUCUCUCAGAGCACUACAGACACGCUAUAUCACAGAUUGUAACUAUAACAAAAAUAUCUGCAUCACUCAAGUGCAUAAAAAGCCAUUUGAGAACAUUAGCAUUUAGUGUUGUCUUCUGAGUACUAUCUGAAGUUGUAUCUGGCAUGAGGACACCUGGCAAAGUAACAACUGAUCAAGAGUCCCUCCACUAACAAACUGAUGCUAAGUGUGUAGCCAACCAAAGCACCCAGAAAGUUUAAGACACAUAACAGAAGGCUGAAUAAAGCCAUUCGUAGCAUUCUGAAACCCAUUCAGCUCUACCUUGUGGAUCUAAUUCUACAUCAGGAGGCAGCGUGCGCAGUGUGCUAACAGAAGAUUUGGAAGUUGCAAUGCUGCUUUACGCUCAUACACAUGCUUGUUACUGCUGUACUGAAAGCAUACCUGAAAUAGUCACAAGAUGCAGCUAGCAGUAUCCGAUGAGCCUCAAUAGGUUUCUCUUCCACUACAAGAACUACAUCAAAGAGGAUGCUGCUGUCUCGGAGAGAUACCAAGCCACUGAGCAAAGCCUGAGAGUGCUCCGCACUGCGGUAUGUGUUGCUGGUGCGCUGCUGAAGGGAGGACUCGAGUUGAGCUUUGUGUGGCUGAGUCAGCUCCUGAUCCUCCGCCAUCCCAGGCAGAAAUGUUCAGCCAAAAGCUGCAGCAGAAUGAAAUCUGUGAGACAACAGAAUCAGCAAAGCAAAACCAGGGCAACGAGCUCAGAAGAAAGCCCUGAUGAGACUGCCUUCUAGGAAGCACAUUCAGGUCGAUUAUACAGGGAAGCUAUCCAUCAUCAGCUGAAGAGAUGAAUAAUGGAUUCUUUUUCAUGACAGCUGUUAACUGUGUGACUCAGGAGCUGAGAACUGCAGAACUGACCUUCAAGUGGAAGAGAUGAAUUCUUUAACAGCAGCAAUGACAAAAAGCAUCUUCUCACAUGCUGUGGGAUUCUGUCUCCGGAAACAAGGGAAGGCAAGUUCUGUUCUAACUCUUGUUCUAAGCGCCUUAAAACUGUAGAUAAAAUCAGCCUAGGGACUUUCUUAGCUGGCUGCAUAAAGUCCUACGGAUAGGUUGGUUUGUAUUCAUCUUUCAAAGUUAGUGGUUAGUGGACUGAGUAAUAUUGGGGUACUACAACUGAAUAUCUAGUGCAUAAAGAGAAAAGAGGUAUAUGAGGUCAGUAAUUACGUGUGCACUUGUACAGACAAUGCUAAUGUGGGAAGACACAUUCUGCUUGGUCACUUCACAUCAAGAAUAUAUAAGAAUAAAUACAAUCACCCUCCAAAAAAACUAAACUCAAAAUCUUCAGAGCUAUCUAGCACAACACAAAUGCUCUUAUUCAAUAGGCUGAAAUUUUCUCUAUUUUGUGCCUGGAUUCUAUUUAGAAACCAUGAGAAAGCAUCUGUGUCUUGCAACCAUAGAGACAGAGGAAGCAUCUGAAGGAAAUGAGUAUUUCCCAUACUACGCUCAAAGUUCAUUUUAUUAUUGGUUAUCUCUUGAAACAAGCUGUGGGUGCACUGGAAGCUAAAUAUUUUAGAGGCUUGCUGAUAGCUCUGUGAUCGUCUUGUAUUCAAUCUUCAUUAUCACAGAAUGUUUCUGCAGAACAUUUGCA